rnacentral:rRNA from 1 species
UACGUAGGUGGCAAGCGUUGUCCGGAUUUAUUGGGUUUAAAGGGUGCGUAGGCGGCCUUAUAAGUCAGUGCUGAAAUAUCCCGGCUUAACCGGGAGGGUGGCAUUGAUACUGUAGGGCUUGAGUACAGAUGAGGUAGGCGGAAUUGACGGUGUAGCGGUGAAAUGCAUAGAUAUCGUCAAGAACACCGAUAGCGAAGGCAGCUUACUGGGCUGUAACUGACGCUGAUGCACGAAAGUGUGGGGAUCAAACAGG